rnacentral:rRNA from 1 species
GUGCCAGCAGCCGCGGUAAUACGAAGGGGGCUAGCGUUGCUCGGAAUGACUGGGCGUAAAGGGCGCGUAGGCGGUUCGUACAGUCGGGCGUGAAAUUCCUGGGCUCAACCUGGGGGCUGCGUUCGAUACGUGCGGACUAGAGUGGGGAAGAGGGUCGUAGAAUUCCCAGUGUAGAGGUGAAAUUCGUAGAUAUUGGGAAGAACACCGGUGGCGAAGGCGGCGACCUGGUCCUUGACUGACGCUGAGGCGCGAAAGCGUGGGGAGCAAACAGGAUUAGAUACCCUUGUAGUCC